rnacentral:rRNA from 1 species
AGUGAACGCUGGCGGUAGGCCUAACACAUGCAAGUCGAACGGCAGCACAGUAAGAGCUUGCUCUUACGGGUGGCGAGUGGCGGACGGGUGAGGAAUACAUCGGAAUCUACUUUUUCGUGGGGGAUAACGUAGGGAAACUUACGCUAAUACCGCAUACGACCUACGGGUGAAAGCAGGGGAUCUUCGGACCUUGCGCGAUUGAAUGAGCCGAUGUCGGAUUAGCUAGUUGGCGGGGUAAAGGCCCACCAAGGCGACGAUCCGUAGCUGGUCUGAGAGGAUGAUCCGCCCCACUGGACCUUAGACCCGGUCCAGCCUCCUCCGGGAGGCAGCAGUGGGGUAUAUUGGACAAUGGGCGCAAGCCUGCUCCAGCCAUACCGCGUGGGUGAAGAAGGCCUUCGGGUUGUAAAGCCCUUUUGUUGGGAAAGAAAAGCAGCAGGUUAAUACCCCGCUGUUCUGACGGUACCCAAAGAAUAAGCACCGGCUAACUUCGUG